AUUUUGGACAAUGGGUGAAACCCUGAUCCAGCCAUCCCGCGUGUAUGAUGAAUGCCCNNNGGUUGNACAGUACUUUGUGCAGGNAACNAAAGGUAUCCCCUAAUACGAGAUACUGCUUCCGUUAACUGCAGAAUAAGCACCGGCUAACUACGUGCCAGCAGCCGCGGUAACACGUAGGGUGCAAGCGUUAAUCGGAAUUACGGGGCGUAAAGCGUGUGUAGGCGGUUCGGAAAGAAAGAUGUGAAAUCCCAGGGCUCAACCUUGGAACUGCAUUUUUAACUGCCGAGCUAGAGUAUGUCAGAGGGGGGUAGAAUUCCACGUGUAGCAGUGAAAUGCGUAGAUAUGUGGAGGAAUACCGAUGGCGAAGGCAGCCCCCUGGGAUAAUACUGACGCUCAGACACGAAAGCGUGGGGAGCAAACA
rnacentral:rRNA from 1 species